rnacentral:lncRNA from 1 species
AAUAGCCUAACACUUGGAUGUGGACUAACGGUAAGGAAAAGCGGACAAGUUCAACAAGUGUUAUCCUAGGUAUAGGUAACGUAGAUCGGGAAACUUCAUGAGGAAGGGUCACCAAAAAUCCUAACUCUUCACAAGAACCACCAAAGCGCGAAUGAUGCAAGCGUUCCAGGAUUUCCCACACUUUGACAAUCACGACCAUUCUAUCCUUUCGAGUCACAACCAUAACGGCUCAAGGUCCUCGAUCUUGAUCCGAUGAAAUGUACACCAAAAAUCAUCCCCAACGACUUACUUAACUCACUGCUGAAACUGACCUUUGAUCUGCACCGGUUGGAAAAUAGACAGUCUGCAUGACUUGGUUAACUUCUUCAGCAAUAAUAGCUUCUUUAACAUUCACGUCAUACUCUAACAUCUCCUCGAAGGUUUGAAACUCCAUGGUCUUUUAUCUACUCCAAAAUUCUUGGCUAAGUUCCCAAAGAUUUUCUGUAUGAUCUUUGGCUUAUUCUUCAAACCAUAAUCGAUGAAUGAAAUUCAUUCGACCACUUAUCUCGAUGCUGAAAUUGUAGUAUAUGAUUAACUCGACCUGAACCUCUUGGAGGAAACAUCCCACUGUACUAACUCCAUAAACCAAAUCUUCAAUCGGUCACAUACCUUGUGUAUAAAAUACUACUUCGUGAACUCUUGAAAUCUGUCCAAAUCGAUCUCACCUCUGUGAAGAAAAUAUUUUUCUCAGAGUGUUGCAUCCCAAAUCUGCCUCAAGCCAUAGUAUACCUCGAACGGUUUAGUCCUUCUUCCGUAUCUUGUGGUCCCACUACUUCUUUCCAUCCUAAGCUUUAAGAUGUCUUGUUGCCAACAGAAAGGUGCAUGUGUGUCCAUCGUCUUGUACUACAGUUGAACCAUCUCUUCCUCCAACGCUAAGCUCCAAACAAAUGUUGAACAAUUCAGGCUUGUACGGCUCUGUUUCUUGUAUGUCUCAGCAUAAGCUGGAGAAUUGAGAAGCCGGAAGAAUAAGUGCAUCUAGGUGAUCAUGUGCAGUCGCAUCGCUCUGAAUCGGACCCCAAACAACACCCACCUUAACAUCGAUAACACACAAGUCCGGAGAUGUAUUCGAUGUAUAAAAUCGACUCUUAACAGGGCAGUAGUGAACCCGACCAUGAGGGUAGCAAACUCGAGCAUAAUGAUAGUAACCCCGGUAAGCACAGUUCACCCGUUCAAUCUUGUCUCGGUGCUUCUGCUAUGAAAGAUCACGGUUAGGUAACUACCCAUGACUAUCUAUACUAAAAUAAAGGAACAAGCCAGCAUAUCCUAGUUAUCCUUGCGACUCAUUUUGACUCGAAAAACAUUCGAAACAAGUCCCAUUCUAGCAUCGUAUAACCAUGCUCUGAUACCACCUUUGUGACACCCCCGAUCGUAGAUGACCGGAAAUGACACGGUCGAUGUUCCUCGAUGGUCGAUCUGAGGUUCUCAGAAUACUUCCGAUCGCCUUAGACCAACAAUCAAAGAACACCAACGCUCCUAUCGGAUACUGCUCAAGGCUUUUCAACCCGAAAAAGCAAUACCCGAUAGUUAGUUCGUCCGGACAAGGACUAAUAUCAUAUGGAACCCGUACUUUAAAAAAAACAUUAAUUAUAUAUCAUUCAAAAUCAUUUUACAAAAUUUGUUAUAAAUUAACCUCGAGGUUUUCGGUCAACAAAUCUUAUACAUAAGAUAUAACAAAAUGACUUUGCAAGGAUAAUAAAACUACCGCUGGCUAAUGCUGUUCCUUCCCGUCCUAGAGUAAGGUCUCCCGCCUAUUGGUUACCUGCAUCACAAAUGAGUCAUGAGUAACUAGUUUACUCAGUGAGCCUAGUCCCGCACCCCAACAUAUAUUAAUAAUAUCUCAAGCAAUCAACUUCAUUUGUAUGCAGUGGAAAUAUAUUCCAUAUCUAAAUAUUUAUAUAUAAGGACUAUCCUUCCAUCAUUGUGAAUCAAAUCAUAUACCUCACUUCCUAUUCCCGUCUCUCAUAUCAUUCAUAUAAUCAUAUUUAUAUAUAUAUAUAUACACCAGACCCGAGAAACCACAAAGGCUAAACGAGUCUAGCAAGUUAGCAUCACCGUCAUCGCCAUCAGAUAUUCAAAAAUUGAACAUCUAACGCUGCAUGCAGUUACACGGCCUCCAGGGUGCGACCCCAUCAUCGUGUCUUCGUGACCUUGUUCCAUAUCGCAGGACCAAUUCACGGUAAUCAUCAUUCAUACGGGAAUAUUUUGGAAGACAGGUUUAUAAUAAGACUUCACAUGAUUAAUACUUCCAUACUUAAUUAUAUUUAAUACUAUACAUAUGUAUUAGUACUUGAGAACAAGUACUAAGGUUUGGAAUAAACCUCUAUGAUCAUUCAUAAAUAUUUAAUAAGUGUUUACACUAAGUAAACACCUUACCAAUUCAAUAGUGAUCAAGAGACAAAGCCUAUCAAUCAUCUACAAUCAGUACGUUCAAUCAAGAAAUAUUCAUUCACUACUCAUCAAUCAUCUAUCUAGACUCACCUUUGAUUCCAUGAGAUUGGCUAAGAAAGACUAUACUCGAGCUCAAGCUAAUCACACUCGGCUUCUGGAAUAUUCUCGAUUUAAAAUCACCACAAUGAUCUGACUGAUCCGAACACUAUCCUUGACCAUCGGUUCAAAUCAAACACUGUCUGAACUCAACUGAUACUCCACUUUAAGAUGAAGCCACGCCAAACCUAAUCAGUACCACAUCAAGAAAAGGUCGGACUCAAUCAAAACAAAGCUGAACCGCAGUCAAUCCAACAUAAAUAAAGGUCGGAAUCAAUCAGAACAAAGCUGAACCGCAGUCAAUCCAACAGAAAUGCUCACAUAAAACUGAUCCACACAACAACUUACAUCUUCACCGAAUAAAAUCAAAGGCUGAAGAACAUGGGUGAUUCUCUACUUCAGGACACCAAAUAUCCAACUCUUUACCACACAAAUACUCACUGAUUAAAGUCACAAGAUGGUGAGAAAGGGUCGUCCAAGCUCACUUCUCUUCUCUUAUUUGUUUCUGAAUUUUUCAUGUAUUUUCCUCACAGAUUUUUCUCUCUUUCUUUCUCUCUUUCUCUCUGAAUUUUUCUUUCUUGUUUCUGAGAUGAAUGGGCUCGACCAGGAAGGGGACAAGGUAAUAAAUGACAGGGUAAACAGCAGGAGAAGAGUCAGCAAGAAAGGACAAAAGUUUCAGAUCAGUAUGAGACAUGUGGUGAGCUGAAUCACACUUUCCUUCCCAUGAAGUAAUGUCAUUUCCUUUCCAUGAAGAAACUUCAAGCAGGUGUGCAACUCACAUGACUUUAAUGUAGCAAGCAAGCUGGAAGGUGCAAGUCACAUGUUCAGGUCAGGAAGGAAGCAAGCAGCCAGGCAGCACAUGACAUGCACAUGACUCGCAAGCAGCUGAAAGUAUUCAAGACCAGUUUACGAUAAAAUGUUUCCCGUCCAUCGGUUCUCGUCCAACUUAGAUAAAACUCGACCAUAAUAAUUAACACUUGGUCAGAACUAUUAAGAGUAGGUACAUUGGCCUCGAGACAGUCCCAUCACGAAUAAUUCACUGGGUCGAUUUUUAUUUAAAUUCUGAUCGAUCAAUCCUCAAACUGAUCUUAAAGAAUUUUCUCGACCAAAAUUAUAUCUGCUCGUGAGGGUUAUUACAUUCUUCCCUCCUCAAAAGAAUUCGUCCCCGAAUUCUGAAAACGUAGCUGUACACUCUUUACUGAACAGUCUCUGAAAGGAGUUAUGGAUAUUAGCUCUUACCUUAUCUUAAUCUUCCCAUAUCAAAACAACUCAUGGUCGAUCCCUUGAUUACCCCAACCGAUCCUUUCUUUCCUGAGCAGCCACUUUCAAGAUAACCAAAUUCUUUACUCUGCACAACUCUUGUCAACUGCGGUCUGCAUACUUUUUCUAACAAUCUUGUAUCUGUAGACUAUCACUUCUCAACCUUUUCUAUCUGACUUUCUCCCAUAACAGCAACAUGAAAUUUGGAACGUUAGGUGAUGUGCCAUACGUGAAAGUAACAUCUCCAGUCUGGUCAAUGUUAACUUGAUUAAUCGUGCAACAAUCAAACAAGAACAUGCACGAUCAAUCACACCAACAUGAUUCGGACUAGGGGUGCUACUCUCAAAUACGCACACUCACCCAUUCCAAGAAUGAUUUCACUUACUGUAUUCUUUACACUUCUGAUAUAUCUGAGACCCUCUUUAUAAUCUUCUAGCUACUACUAGAACUCGGCAAGAACCACUUGGUGAGAUCCCUAGGCUAUUGCAGCGAAUCCAGGUUCAACAAGAAUACUAAACAUGUUACUUUUAGAUGUCGACCAUCUUUUCAAUGCCUUAAACACAUCUUCAUCUUCCCUGAUUAUCAGACUGUCUUCUAAUCUGCUCCUUUUCAUCUUCUACUUUUUAAACGAUCAAGUUUCUAGAUCACACUUCUUCACCUUUUCCCAAAAGUUCUUCAACACGCCAGACUGAUUUGAGUGAUACUCGAACACUUAGUAGUAUACCAUUGUAGGCCAACAAUAACUGGUCAUCUUCAAAAGACUUCUUUCCUUAAUAUCCUAAUUGAGCUCGGUAACUAGAUAGCAAAUCUCACUCUAGAUAGAAACAUACUGCUCUAACAGAAGUACUAAGGAAUGGGGAAGGCAUACCAUUACUUUAACUGGCAGCCCGUACUUCCAAAUAAGAACGGUAGACUUGAAUUCACAAAAGUGAAUCCUCUCUAAUACUAUGACAUCGCUCAGGAACUACAACCAUGUGUUGUUCCCGAAUCAAACACAAUAUGGACGGAAAAUUCCAUCCAUAUGCAAGGUCUCUUACGACACAAUUCACAUUUUUUUUUUUUUAAUUUCAAUCAUUCAUAAAAUUUUAAAAAUGCACACAACACACAAUUGGAUAAGAAUCAAACCUGUGAUUGGACCUUUCAGGGGUUUUGACGGUCCAGUCAACUAUAAAGUGUAGGCUCUACCCAAAUAGCCUAACACUUGGAUGUGGACUAACGGUAAGGAAAAGCGGACAAGUUCAACAAGUGUUAUCCUAGGUAUAGGUAACGUAGAUCGGGAAACUUCAUGAGGAAGGGUCACCAAAAAUCCUAACUCUUCACAAGAACCACCAAAGCGCGAAUGAUGCAAGCGUUCCAGGAUUUCCCACACUUUGACAAUCACGACCAUUCUAUCCUUUCGAGUCACAACCAUAACGGCUCAAGGUCCUCGAUCUUGAUCCGAUGAAAUGUACACCAAAAAUCAUCCCCAACGACUUACUUAACUCACUGCUGAAACUGACCUUUGAUCUGCACCGGUUGGAAAAUAGACAGUCUGCAUGACUUGGUUAACUUCUUCAGCAAUAAUAGCUUCUUUAACAUUCACGUCAUACUCUAACAUCUCCUCGAAGGUUUGAAACUCCAUGGUCUUUUAUCUACUCCAAAAUUCU